rnacentral:tRNA from 1 species
GGAGCGGUAGUCCAGUCGGCAAGUCGCCGGUCCGAGACGCCGAGGGUCGCAAGUUCGAACCCUUGGUCCGCUCCGCCA